UGUCCUUUUGCUGUAAUGAAUAACUGUGAGUCCUUCUACUGAAUCGUCAAACCUGAGGACUGUCUUGACAACAGGGCUUUUUGCAGCAAAUGUGUAUUUGUGCUAGAUGGACUGUUGCUCCCAGCUUUUUACCACCUCCCGCCACGCCCUUUUGCCGUGUGACUUUGGGCACCUGCCCUGGAGUAGACCAAGUCUGUCCCCACCUGCUCGAGGCUGCAUGGCCAGUGGAUAUCAGCAGAGAUCAUGCAAGAGAAGGCCUAAUGCGAGACACCAGCACCCCAGAGCAGCAAAGCCCUGGGUAGCUACUAAUCCCAGAAUGGGUGGGUAGAGUAAACGUGAGCCCCACCCACAGAUGAAGCUGCUGAGGCCUGCGUGGUCCACUGGCCCUGCUGUUUUCAGACCCAUCUGCACCCCUUUCUCCGGCUCACUGUAGACCAGUCAUUCUGAAAGAGCCCAUGAAAAACACCAAGUUCUCUCCUGCCUCAGGACUUUGUACCUGCUGCUUCAGUGCCUGGAAUACUGACUCCUUCCCAUGAAAAACACCAAGUUCUCUCCUGCCUCAGGACUUUGUACCUGCUGCUUCAGUGCCUGGAAUACUGACUCCUUCCCAUGAAAAACACCAAGUUCUCUCCUGCCUCAGGACUUUGUGCCUGCUGCUUCAGUGCCUGGAAUACUCAUUCCUUCCAUUGUUUGCACAAGCACCGCCAGGGGGUGGGGCUCACAGAGGCGCACUGCGGCAGGAACUGGAUGUGGGUGUCAAGGUGGUCACAGAACAGACGGCUGGGUCAGCUCCCCAAGGAGAAGCCCUGAGCUGCCCAACAGGUCCCUCUUAGGCCCCACACUUCAGAGGCAGGGCUGCCACGCAUGCCUCCUGGAUCACCUCUUGGUGUCCCAUGGCCCCUGUGGGGCUCCUACCUGGCACAUCCUCACCUCCAGGCUCCCCCGGCUCCAACUCAGCAGGGAGGUGGGAGGUUGACGGGAGCAGGCAGGCAUGGGAGGGCUCAGCCGGGGUAUGAGGGGUGGGCAGAGUCCCCCCACCUGGCUCACCCUUUCUCUUCCUCUCCUCCUCUGGGCACCUUCUUUGACUCCCACAGGCUCCUAGCUCAGACCUCUCCACUCUUCCUGGCUUUCCUUCAGGGAGGUCAGGAAAGUCAGGGACCCGUGGAUAAAGACCAGGAGAACACAAUGAGCAGAAAAGCGUAGGCGAGCAGCUGGCAGCCACCAUCGCAUUUGCUCCCGGAAGGCAAGAGGAGGCAGAGAAAAUUCCAGAACCCAUUUAAGCGUCUGGGACCCUGAGUCUAGAACCUGGAGAUUUGGUCUUCUGGAAACGACAUCAGAGAGAGACUGCCCUUGAACCCCAUUGGAAGAGACCCUACCAAGUUCUUCUCACCACCCACACGGCAGUAAAACUUCAAGGCCUCAAACUUUGGAUUCACAUCUCAUAAGUCAAAAGGGCCCCUCCAGGCUCCUGGAACCGUAUACGUGUUGGAGACCUCAACGGAAAGCUGACAAGGGAGGUUUUUCUUCAGAUGCAGGUGGGAUCCUGGAUGUGGGCGGCUUUCCCAAGGUCACAAAUCCAGACUUCUCUGUCUUCACGAAAGCCUUUUAUUUUUUCCUUUUUUUAUUUCCUGUUGUCUUAGUCCCUUCCCUUUCCUUACAGGAGAAUCCACUGGACCAUAAUCUGUGGAUGGCUUUAGUACAGGCUUAUGCUCUAGCAAGAAACCAGAUAAAUUGUUGAGUCUGUGGGCUAAUGCCCCCCAAAUGAGGAAACAAUUCCACUGAUGCCAGUGCCUCUCCAUAUUCCGAAUAAGUCACCCUGGGCCGGGUGCGG
rnacentral:lncRNA from 1 species